rnacentral:rRNA from 1 species
AGUGAACGCUGGCGGUAGGCCUAACACAUGCAAGUCGAACGGCAGCACAGUAAGAGCUUGCUCUUACGGGUGGCGAGUGGCGGACGGGUGAGGAAUACAUCGGAAUCUACUUUUUCGUGGGGGAUAACGUAGGGAAACUUACGCUAAUACCGCAUACGACCUACGGGUGAAAGCAGGGGAUCUUCGGACCUUGCGCGAUUGAAUGAGCCGAUGUCGGAUUAGCUAGUUGGCGGGGUAAAGGCCCACCAAGGCGACGAUCCGUAGCUGGUCUGAGAGGAUGAUCAGCCACACUGGAACUGAGACACGGUCCAGACUCCUACGGGAGCCAGCAGUGGGGAAUAUUGGACAAUGGGCGCAAGCCUGAUCCAGCCAUACCGCGUGGGUGAAGAAGGCCUUCGGGUUGUAAAGCCCUUUUGUUGGGAAAGAAAAGCAGCAGGUUAAUACCCCGCUGUUCUGACGGUACCCAAAGAAUAAGCACCGGCUAACUUCGUG